rnacentral:rRNA from 1 species
CCUACGGGAGGCAGCAGUGAGGAAUAUUGGUCAAUGGGCGCGAGCCUGAACCAGCCAAGUCGCGUGAGGGAAGACGGUCCUAUGGAUUGUAAACCUCUUUUGUCGGGGAGCAAAAGACGCCACGCGUGGCGUUCCGAGAGUACCCGAAGAAAAAGCAUCGGUUAACUCCGUGCCAGCAGCCGCGGUAAUACGGAGGAUGCGAGCGUUAUCCGGAUUUAUUGGGUUUAAAGGGUGCGCAGGAGGACGAUCAAGUCAGCGGUAAAAUUGAGAGGCUCAACCUCUUCGAGCCGUUGAAACUGGUUGUCUUGAGUGAGCGAGAAGUAUGCGGAAUGCGUGGUGUAGCGGUGAAAUGCAUAGAUAUCACGCAGAACUCCGAUUGCGAAGGCAGCAUACCGGCGCUCAACUGACGCUCAUGCACGAAAGUGUGGGUAUCGAACAGGAUUAGAUACCCUUGUAGUC